CCAAUGCGGAUACCCUGGGGGUCGCUCUCCCAGGCUCUGUCAGGUGGCAGUGGGAGUGCAGGGCUCUGCCCUGUGAUGUAGUCCCUUUCCACAACAUCUGAGAUGAAGCUAGGCCCCAAGUCCGCGCCUGCAUAUUCCUACAGCUCAGAGUCCCAUGGACCGUGACUGAGGAGAUAAACCAUGCAGGAAACAGUU
rfam:Erinaceus europaeus unplaced genomic scaffold scaffold00303, whole genome shotgun sequence